ACAAUAAAAUAAAAUAAAUCAUAAGUAACAUUUGUUACGUAACUGCUAUCCCGAAUAUGUGGGUUAGUUAUGCACAAAAAAAGUCAUUUCCCAUUUGGUUGAGAUGGCUGUGCGGGAGUACAAACAGAGCGUUUUUCCAUUAUAUGGGAAACAUCCUAAAUGUACAAAAUAAUAAUAAUGAAUGAGAAAAUGAAAUGGUAUAUAUACAAAAUCGCCCAUUACGGGCGAACGAUAUCGACUACAACUGAUACGUUUGAGCGAAGCAUUGCGAGAAAAACGGCCUGAAUACGAGCAAAAGCACGAUAAAGUGAUUUUGCUGCAUGACAAUGCUCGGCCACAUGUUGCACAGCGUGUCAAAAACUAUUUGGAAGCAAAUCGAUAGGAUGUCUUACCCCACCCGCCGUAUAGCCCAGACAUUGCUCCUUCCGAUUACCACCUAUUUCGAUCGAUGACGCAUGGCUUGGCUGAGCAGCAUUUUCGUUCUUCCGAAGAAGUCAAAAAUUGGGUCGAUGAAUGGAUAGCCUCAAAAGAUGAGACGUUAUUUCGACGCGGAAUCCGUAUACUACCAGAAAGAUGGGAAAAGGUAGUGGCUAGCGAUGGACAGUACUUUGAAUGAUGUUUUAUUUUAAACAUUUAUUUAGAUAAAGCAUUCAUUUUCAUUAGAAAAUUCCCGUUUUUAAGUUGCUACUCCAAUAGUAUGUGGAAAAAUUACCGAAUCUGGCGGCCAUUUGACGUGAAGUUUCAUUUCUUUUAUUUCUAGUGAAAAUAUUCGCACCCUUUUAACAAUUCAACCGCUUCAUUUCGGCCUAAAAAGACAUUCCGAUAAAUCGCAUUUUAGCAUGUGCAGAAAGAAAAUGUUUUCUCGAUUUCAAACUGAGUGCAUCUUCUCUGAAAAUAUUACAUUUUCUACUAGUUGAAAGUGAAAUUGUGACAAUUGAAAAAGAAUCACCAAUAAAUUGAUAAGCUAACAAAUAUUUUUAUAACA